GUUCGUGAAGUAUUUUCGUACACUUUAGUUACAUUAAAGUAGCCUCGCCACGCGAGCGUGAACA
rnacentral:tRNA from 1 species